CCGCGCUAGACCCAUGUUCUGAAGGCACAAGGGUCUAGGACCGCUCGACAGGGAGGGAGGCGGGCUAAAAGGUUGUCUUUCAAAUCACUCUGCAGCAAUUGGGUAGGUAUACAACCAAUCAGUGCAACGAAUAGGCUGACAUAGUUCCUAGAGCGCCAGCGGAUUGUGGCUAAGUCCCAUUAGCUUCCCAACCAGCGGAGCCAACUGGUAUAUUAAGGAUUUGCCAUAUCCCGUCGGCAUAAGUCCAAAUACGUCUUUCUUCUCAAUGAAACACUUCAGUGCCGUCCUUUGUUUAUCUUUCAAGUUGAAUUUUAGCUUCAAAUCUUUAAGGGCUGUGGCCAAAGACGAGUCGAAUGAUAACUGUUUAUUGUGCGCCGGUUGUUUCUGUCAGAAUCGUCGCGCCUCUGUCGUCACUUAGUUACGCCCGCCUUCUGACUCUACACUUCAUGGUGAUUCGUCCGGCCAGUUUUAGGAGAAUCCAGCCUCGAGCCUUAUGGAGGGUAACUCGACCCACCCUGGCAGAGAAUUAAAUUCGUUGCCGUGGGUUGUCUAGCGCGGCUAGGCUAGUUGUUUCCGGUUGUUUCUGUCAGAAUCGUCACGCCUCUGUCGUCACUUAGUUACGCCCGCCUUCUGACUCUACGCUUCAUGGUGAUUCGUCGGCCAGUUUUAGGAGCAUCCAGCCUCGAGGCUUACCGAGGGUAACUAGACCCUUUCAUCUUCAGAGCUGGGUCUAGCGCAGCUAGGCUAUAAAUGUCCAUUAUCUGAUUGUAUAGUUGUAUAGGAAUAAAAACUGAUGUAAGCAAAAAAAGUAAUUACACAAUGCGUUUUUACCCUUUAAAGAAUUCCUCUAGACUUUGUAAUUACAGGUGCUGUUUUUCAAUUACUCAAUACGUGUUUGCAAGUUUAGUAGUUUGGAAUUUCUUAUUGCAAUAUCAGUGUGCAGACUUCUUUGGAGGUGCACACGACACAAGAGGCUUCGUACAAGUGGAGACACAAUCAUUUGUGUGGAAUGGUGCUGAUUUUUGGCAACAUUUUCAUAUUUUUAUAGGGUGAUUUUUUUGUAGAGGCAUGUUUUGCAUGUUUGUUUUUAAAUAUAAAAUAUUUACAAUUAUAUUUUUGUCAAGUUUGCAUAUUGUAUAAAGUACUUAUUUUUUAGUGUGUGCAAGAAACAAAUGUUUCAAGUGUUUAUCUGUUUGAACUUUUUUAUGUGUUGUGCUCCACAGGCUGUCAAGUGAUUUUUGUUUGUACUUGUCGGAGAAAGACAAAAUCACUUUGUGCUGGCAGCAUGUUACGAUGUACAGUUUUGUAUCCCUAUAACUGUAUAAAUGUACAGACAUUUUAAA